rnacentral:lncRNA from 1 species
GACAAAAGUACUCAACAAGUCCAACCCCAUCCACGAAGGGGGAUACAAUCAAGAAUAUGCACAGGAUAUAUCAAGGAUAAGGCUCGGGUUUAUUUGCCAUAUAGGUUUUUCAACACAUGCGAGGGUUCAUUUUCAAAAGGGUUUUCACAAAACAUUUUCUUUAGUAACCGAAUCAUUAGGUGGGGUUGAUCCUACACAAAGGAUCCAAGUUUUCAACAUACUGGUCUACCCAUCCGCGGAAGCUCAUGGCACAACUGCCGGACACUUCCAAAAUCCAACUCACACCAUGAAAACCAUUCAUCACCCAAACACUAGUUAUGUGUCCAAGCCGUAACUCGUCCAAUGCCGUGUACACGACUACCCGGAUAGGUUUUCACUCUACAGAGGUUGUAUACUUUACCCACAAGUAGGGUACCACAGCACGAUCACCUUAGUGUCAUUACAGAUCCUAUCAAAGUCAUUACCCACCUUAGCUAAGACUGACUAGCCAACACGAAAGCAACCAAGGGGAUAAUGACCUACCAAGGAGGUCUUAACUGGGAUCUAAGUUCACACAAUUUUUAGUCCUUCUCCAUGGUCUCCCGUUGCUCACCAGCUCUCCUGAUGGCUAACAGACCAGCUACUGGGAUUUAUGCUAAGCCGCCGCCCACACAACGGUCGAGUGGUUGCAUGAUAGUUGGGUUAGGCAAGAUGGCACAUCAACUCGGUCCUUAACUGUGAUAAGAUGGAUAUCUCCCAACCUUGCUCAGCCACCAAGGUACGAGCCCAACUCAUUGGCAUUUCACACAAGAAACACC